UACGUAGGUGACAAGCGUUGUCCGGAUUUACUGGGCGUAAAGAGCGCGCAGGCGGUCGAUCAAGUCGAGUGUGAAAGCCCCCGGCUCAACUGGGGAGGGUCAUUCGAUACUGAUCGACUCGGAGGCAGGAGAGGGUAGUGGAAUUCCCGGUGUAGCGGUGAAAUGCGUAGAGAUGUGGAGGAACACCAAUGGCGAAGGCAGCCUUCUGGGCCAACACUGACGCUCAUGCACGAAAGCGUGGGGAGCAAACAGG
rnacentral:rRNA from 1 species